rnacentral:rRNA from 1 species
GAUGAACGCUGGCGGCGUGCCUAAUACAUGCAAGUCGAGCGAACGGACGAGAAGCUUGCUUCUCUGAUGUUAGCGGCGGACGGGUGAGUAACACGUGGAUAACCUACCUAUAAGACUGGGAUAACUUCGGGAAACCGGAGCUAAUACCGGAUAAUAUUUUGAACCGCAUGGUUCAAAAGUGAAAGACGGUCUUGCUGUCACUUAUAGAUGGAUCCGCGCUGCAUUAGCUAGUUGGUAAGGUAACGGCUUACCAAGGCAACGAUGCAUAGCCAACCUGAGAGGGUGAUCGGCCACACUGGAACUGAGACACGGUCCAGACUCCUACGGGAGGCAGCAGUAGGGAAUCUUCCGCAAUGGGCGAAAGCCUGACGGAGCAACGCCGCGUGAGUGAUGAAGGUCUUCGGAUCGUAAAACUCUGUUAUUAGGGAAGAACAUAUGUGUAAGUAACUGUGCACAUCUUGACGGUACCUAAUCAGAAAGCCACGGCUAACUACGUG